rnacentral:rRNA from 1 species
AGUGAACGCUGGCGGUAGGCCUAACACAUGCAAGUCGAACGGCAGCACAGUAAGAGCUUGCUCUUACGGGUGGCGAGUGGCGGACGGGUGAGGAAUACAUCGGAAUCUACUUUUUCGUGGGGGAUAACGUAGGGAAACUUACGCUAAUACCGCAUACGACCUACGGGUGAAAGCAGGGGAUCUUCGGACCUUGCGCGAUUGAAUGAGCCGAUGUCGGAUUAGCUAGUUGGCGGGGUAAAGGCCCACCAAGGCGACGAUCCGUAGCUGGUCUGAGAGGAUGAUCAGCCACACUGGAACUGAGACACGGUCCAGACUCCUACGGGAGGCAGCAGUGGGGAAUAUUGGACAAUGGGCGCAAGCCUGAUCCAGCCAUACCGCGUGAGUGAAGAAGGCCUUCGGGUUGUAAAGCCCUUUUGUUGGGAAAGAAAAGCAGCAGGUUAAUACCCCGCUGUUCUGACGGUACCCGAAGAAUAAGCACCGGCUAACUUCGUG